GACGAACGCUGGCGGCGUGCUUAACACAUGCAAGUCGAACGAAGAGCGAUGGAAGCUUGCUUCUAUCAAUCUUAGUGGCGAACGGGUGAGUAACGCGUAAUCAACCUGCCCUUCAGAGGGGGACAACAGUUGGAAACGACUGCUAAUACCGCAUACGAUCUAAUCUCGGCAUCGAGGAUAGAUGAAAGGUGGCCUCUACAUGUAAGCUAUCACUGAAGGAGGGGAUUGCGUCUGAUUAGCUAGUUGGAGGGGUAACGGCCCACCAAGGCGAUGAUCAGUAGCCGGUCUGAGAGGAUGAACGGCCACAAUGGGACUGAGACACGGCCCAGACUCCUACGGGAGGCAGCAGUGGGGAAUCUUCCGCAAUGGACGAAAGUCUGACGGAGCAACGCCGCGUGAGUGAUGACGGCCUUCGGGUUGUAAAGCUCUGUUAAUCGGGACGAAAGGCCUUCUUGCGAAUAGUGAGAAGGAUUGACGGUACCGGAAUAGAAAGCCACGGCUAACUACGUG
rnacentral:rRNA from 1 species